rnacentral:rRNA from 1 species
UAAUACGAAGGGGGCUAGCGUUGUUCGGAAUCACUGGGCGUAAAGCGCAUGUAGGCGGCCAUUCAAGUCGGGGGUGAAAUCCUGGAGCUCAACUCCAGAACUGCCUUCGAUACUGUCUGGCUCGAGUGUGGAAGAGGUUGGUGGAACUGCGAGUGUAGAGGUGAAAUUCGUAGAUAUUCGCAAGAACACCAGUGGCGAAGGCGGCCAACUGGUCCAUUACUGACGCUGAGAUGCGAAAGCGUGGGGAGCAAACAGGAUUAGAUACCCUGGUAGUCCACGCCGUAAACGAUGAGAGCUAGCUGUUGGGAAGUUUACUUUUCAGUAGCGCAGAUAACUCGAUAAGCUCUCCGCCUGGGGAGUACGGUCGCAAGAUUA